AGUGCACAUUUCCAUGACAGCGGGAAGGUUGUGACCUCAGGUUUGUGUGUCGCUCUGCGGCAAAUCCCCUUUGCGACACAAUGCCAUUUGCUCUGGGCAGGUUCAAGCAUUUUCCACUGCGCUUGCCAGAACUUCAUAGAGGAACAGAAUAAAGGGACACUCGGCAUUGCAUGGCAGCGGGGAGGGGGACCAUCACGCUGGCUGGCUGGCUGGCUGGCUGGCUGCCUUUCUUGGGGUGUUCCUAAUGUUUUGUCCAGGGAAUGGCAAACGAAUGGGGGGGACAGGACGUGGAUCAGGAGGUGGCCGCAGCGGAGCGGGCGGUCCCGCUGUUGACGCCGCUGCCCUUGGCGACCUUUGACCCCAGCGACUGACCCCAGCGGCUCCGCAGUUCGGCGCUGUCGCUCUGCGCCUGCUCUUCGUCAUACCUACACACAAA